AACGGGUAUAGGUUGAAAACUGUUCCGAUGACCUGUGGAUAGGAGUGAAAGGCUAAUCAAACUCGCAGAUAGCUGGUUCUCCCCGAAAUAGCUUUCGGGCUAGCGUCAGGUAAUUAGCGUGCGGGGGUAGAGACACUGAUUGGGAUAGGGGCCCUUCGGGGUACCCUACUCAGCCAAACUCCGAAUACCGCACGUGGUAUCCUGGCAGUCAGACUAUGGGCGAUAAGGUCCGUGGUCGAGAGGGAAACAGCCCAGACCGCCAGCUAAGGUCCCUAAUGUGUGCUAAGUGCAGAGAAGGAACUGAAGUCUCGAAGACAGCCAGGAUGUUGGCUUAGAAGCAGCCAUCAUUUAAAGAGUGCGUAACAGCUCACUGGUCGAGAGGCUUUGGGCCGAAAAUGAACGGGGCUCAAGUGCACAACCGAAGCUGCGGAUUGCAAGGAGUCGUUGGCUCCUUGCAGUGGUAGGGGAGCGUUCUGACUGGGUGAAGGGCUACGGUAACGAGGCCUGGACGGUUCAGAAGUGAUUAUGCCGGAAUGAGUAACGAUAAAGCAGGUGAGAAUCCUGCUCGCCGAAAACCUAAGGUUUCCUGGGCACGGUAAAUCCGCCCAGGGUUAGUCGGGUCCUAAGGCGAGGCCGAAAGGCGUAGUCGAUGGUCAACGGGUUAAUAUUCCCGUACUGCCAACUAGCGUUUGACCGAUGGGGUGACGCGGAAGUGAAGGUGAUCAGGCUGACAGAUGCCUGUCUAAGCCCGAGGGCGGUGUGUAGGCAAAUCCGCACACGGAAACCCGGAGGUGAAUGCGAGCGCACUAGCGCGAAGUCACUGGAUCAACCGCCUAGAAAAUCCUCUAGGGAGCUACGUUGGUAUCCGUACCAAAACUGACACAGGUAGGUGGGGUGAGAAUCCCAAGGCGCUCGAGAGAACUGCUGUUAAGGAACUCGGCAAAAUGACCCCGUAACUUCGGGAGAAGGGGUGCCCUUGAGAGUGUAGGCCUUCGCGGUCGAAGCUUUUGGGGGCCGCAGAGAAUUGGCCCAACCAACUGUUUACUAAAAACACAGGUCUAUGCUAACUCUUAACGAGGAUGUAUAUAGACUGACGCCUGCCCAAUGCCGGAAGGUUAAGGGGAGUGGUUAGCGUAAGCGAAGCUGCGAACUGAAGCCCCGGUGAAUGGCGGCCGUAACUAUGACGGUCCUAAGGUAGCGAAGUUCCUUGUCGGGUAAGUUCCGACCCGCACGAAAGGCGUAAUGAGUUGGGCACUGUCUCAACAGCAGACUCGGUGAAAUUGUAGUCGUGGUGAAGAUGCCACGUUCCCGCACCAAGACGGAAAGACCCCGUGAACCUUUACUGCAGCCUGAUAUUGGUGCUUGUUGUGUAGUGCGUAGCAUAGGUGGGAGGCGUCGAAGCGGAGCUUUCGGGUUCUGUGGAGCCAUUAGUGAAAUACCACUCUCUGCACAUUAGGUCUCUAACGCGUAUGUCUGAAUCGGCUGCGCGGACAGUUUCAGGUGGGUAGUUUGGCUGGGGCGGUCUCCUCCUAAAAGGUAACGGAGGAGCGCGAUGGUACACUCAGCGCGGUUAGCAAUCGCGCGUAGAGCGCAAGGGUAUAAGUGUGCCUGACUGCGAGAGAUAUAGCUCGAGCAGAUACGAAAGUAGGUCCUAGUGAUCCGGCGGAUUCCGAGUGGAAGGGCCGUCGCUCAUCAGAUAAAAGGUACUCCGGGGAUAACAGGCUGAUCUCCCCCAAGAGUUCAUAUCGACGGGGAGGUUUGGCACCUCGAUGUCGGCUCAUCGCAUCCUGGGGCUGAAGGCGGUCCCAAGGGUUUGGCUGUUCGCCAAUUAAAGCGGUACGUGAGCUGGGUUUAGACCGUCGUGAGACAGGUCGGUCCCUAUCUGGUGUGGGUGUAGGAUGAUUGAGGAGGUUUUCCCCUAGUACGAGAGGAUUGGGGAGGACGAACCGCUGGUGCUCCAGUUAUCACGCUAGUGGUACAGCUGGGUAGCUAAGUUCGGAACGGAUAAGCGCUGAAUGCAUCUAAGCGCGAAGCCUUCUCCAAGACGAGUCAUCCCUUAGAGUCCCCUGGGAGACUACCAGGUUGAUAGGCAGGCGGUGUAAGCACAGCAAUGUGUUCAGCUUACCUGUACUAAUCGGACCAUCGGCUUAAACAC
rnacentral:rRNA from 1 species